rnacentral:tRNA from 2 species
GGGUGUAUAGCUCAGUUGGUUAGAGCGCUGUGCUGAUAACGCAGAGGUCUCUGGUUCGAUUCCAGAUAUGCCCA